rnacentral:misc_RNA from 1 species
GAUGAAGAACGCAGCGAAAUGCGAUACGUAAUGUGAAUUGCAGAAUUCAGUGAAUCAUCGAAUCUUUGAACGCAUAUUGCGCUCUCUGGUAUUCCGGAGAGCAUGCUUGUUUGAGUAUCAGUAAACACCUCAACUUCCAUAUCUUUUUUGAAAUGGGAGUUGGACUUGAGUGAUCCCAACGCUUUUCCUCACCGAAAAGUGGCGGGUUACUUGAAAUGCAGGUGCAGCUGGACUUUUUUCUGAGCUAUAAGCAUAUCUAUUUAGUCUGCCUAAAAAACAGAUUAUUACCUUUGCUGCAGCUAACAUAAAGGAGAUUAGUUCUUGUGCUGACUGAUGCAGGAUUCACAAAGACGGCUUCGGCCGACUUUGUAAACUCGAUCUCAAAUCAAGUAAGACUACCCGCUGAACUUAAGCAUAUCAAUAAGCGGAGGA